rfam:Peptococcaceae bacterium BRH_c23 BRHa_1000706, whole genome shotgun sequence.
UCGUCCGUGAGGAGGGGUCCGGAGGGUCUGAAGGCAAACUGUGGAACGGAGCGAAAGCGAACCGAUGCUGGCUGGUUUGGUGGGUAACUUUGCAAGAUGUGAGAAAGCCCGAUAAAUGGAAAAAGCCAAAUUAGUUAAGACGGUCGAGUUCACAGGGAGGCAAGUAGG